UCUUCUCCUAUGAUGAAGCAUUUUUCGGAUGUAAAUGCCUACGGGCAAGUGUCCGAGAGCGCAAAACCGUGUGGAUACUUCCGUUGCCUUCCUUCUGAUCCUCCCU
rnacentral:snoRNA from 1 species